rnacentral:lncRNA from 1 species
CCAAUACUCUUGACCAUUUCCAUGGGGAAACAAGUUAUCUAGAACCAAACAUUGGUACAGUACUUAGGUGUUCCAUACACAAAUAAUUUCAGCAAUUAACUUGAUUACUGUUAUAAUGUUCUUCUUAAAUAUUUUUCAGCUGCUCUUGUCCCUAAUUACAGCUUUAAAUAUUUUGAAACAAUUCACUAGCUAUAGAGUGAUAUAUAUUUAUGAUGCUAUUUCAUUUUAUGAAAAGUAGUAUUACUAAAAGUGACUAAUUCACCUCCCAUCCCCCAUUGGCAAGCAUCUUUCCCCUCCCUUUUUUAUUUUUUACUUUUAGCUCUAGAAUAGAGUAACUUUGAUUUAUUAGUAUAAUUUAGACCUUCUUUAGUAUUAAAAAAAAGUUACCCCAUGGGUUUGAAAACAGUAGGAGUUAGCUCCUAAAUUGUCAAGUUAAUCAGCAGUGGCUAAACAGAUAGCAGAGGGAAUGUGAUAUAAUUCGAGGCUAGAAAGGAGUAAUGCUUUGGGUACUUACUACCUCCCUCCCUUA